UACGAAGGGGGCUAGCGUUGCUCGGAAUCACUGGGCGUAAAGCGCACGUAGGCGGAUUGUUAAGUCAGGGGUGAAAUCCUGGAGCUCAACUCCAGAACUGCCUUUGAUACUGGCGAUCUUGAGUCCGGGAGAGGUGAGUGGAACUGCGAGUGUAGAGGUGAAAUUCGUAGAUAUUCGCAAGAACACCAGUGGCGAAGGCGGCUCACUGGCCCGGUACUGACGCUGAGACGCGAAAGCGUGGGUAGCAAACAGG
rnacentral:rRNA from 1 species